AUGAAAUUGGAAAUUGGAGAGCAUCCUUUGAUGGGCCAGGAGUGUCACCAGAGAAUCAGCAAAAACAAAAGAAACAACCUCUGGACUCAACUCAGUAAAUCAUUGAUCUGUAAGAAGGCCCUACUACUUAGAAACCCGAGUGCACUCCGAGUCCCCAGAGGAACAUCACUCAACACAGUUGUCCAAUUGUGACUGGUUAAAAUAGCAUGUAAGACUUUGAAAAUGGACAGAGAAGACGGACACCUGCAGAUAGAACAGAAUGACUCAGAAGCAUCCAGCAUCCCUGCAGAUUCGAUGUAUUUCAUGAAAAUAAAUGAAUAAAGAUACAUAGAUACA
rnacentral:lncRNA from 12 species